GAUGAACGCUGGCGGCGUGCCUAAUACAUGCAAGUCGAGCGAACAGACGAGGAGCUUGCUCCUCUGACGUUAGCGGCGGACGGGUGAGUAACACGUGGAUAACCUACCUAUAAGACUGGGAUAACUUCGGGAAACCGGAGCUAAUACCGGAUAAUAUAUUGAACCGCAUGGUUCAAUAGUGAAAGACGGUUUUGCUGUCACUUAUAGAUGGAUCCGCGCCGCAUUAGCUAGUUGGUAAGGUAACGGCUUACCAAGGCAACGAUGCGUAGCCGACCUGAGAGGGUGAUCGGCCACACUGGAACUGGGACACGGUCCAGACUCCUACGGGAGGCAGCAGUAGGGAAUCUUCCGCAAUGGGCGAAAGCCUGACGGAGCAACGCCGCGUGAGUGAUGAAGGUCUUCGGACCGUAAAACUCUGUUAUUAGGGAAGAACAAAUGUGUAAGUAACUAUGCACGUCUUGACGGUACCUAAUCAGAAAGCCACGGCUAACUACGUG
rnacentral:rRNA from 1 species